UACGUAGGGUGCGAGCGUUGUCCGGAAUUAUUGGGCGUAAAGGGCUCGUAGGCGGUUUGUCGCGUCGGGAGUGAAAACGCCGUGCUUAACACGGCGCUUGCUUUCGAUACGGGCAGACUAGAGGUAUGCAGGGGAGAACGGAAUUCCUGGUGUAGCGGUGAAAUGCGCAGAUAUCAGGAGGAACACCGGUGGCGAAGGCGGUUCUCUGGGCAUUACCUGACGCUGAGGAGCGAAGGCCAGGGGAGCAAACGGG
rnacentral:rRNA from 1 species